rnacentral:miRNA from 1 species
UGUUUGCAUAGUGUGUGUAUAUAAUGCAGUGUGUUUGUGUAGUGUGUUUAUAUAAUGCACACUACACAAACACACUGCAUUAUAGACACACACUAUACAAAC